rnacentral:lncRNA from 1 species
CUUCGCAGUGGAUAGACCUGCCAUCAGGUCUGGCCUUGGCACUUGCUGUUUGCAUGCCCAGAAGCAAGAGAUUUCUUGUGGGCCUCAGUUUCUACAUCUGGAGAUUGAAGAUUUCCCUACCUAUCACAGAAGGUUGUUCUGGGGAUUCACUGGAAGAGGAACCUUGAAAAGCUCUGUGAACUUCAAGUUCUAGCCCAAUGUAUGGCACGUGGAUGCUCUCUGACCCCUUGUCAGCUGGUGCACUUUAGCUGAAAAGCCGUGUUCCCGCUAUGUCUUCCAUUUUUUUCCAGAAGCUCUGUCCUUCACUGAGAUCUCCUUUCACUGACUACAUCAUCAGGUCCCUGAGGGUGCAUCUUUGGCCACAUACUUCCGGAUACGCUGCUUUCCUCUCCCCACCAUCACCUUGCUGAGGUGGCCCCAGCACACAGACACACCGGGUGCUGUGGGCUCCAGGAGUCGGUGGCGGGGAGAGGGGACUUCGGUCACGGGGCACACUGGAUCUGGAUCCCGAGAGCGAGGAGGAUGCUUCCCGGUGGAGAAGGGCGGUCUGUCCGGUGAGGAAAUGAAGAUCCUUCCAGAUGAAGAGGGUAGUAAAGCUGGAGGCACAGCUAUAUGGAGACUUGCUGACUUCGGAUGGAAUCCUCUGGUCCCCACCCCUCUGUGUCCCUGUUCUGGAACCUUUCCCUGCUCUGAGACCUUUCCUUCCUGCUUCAGAUCCCUGGGAGGCUACUGUUUCUUUCUUUACCCCCAGUAAAGGCAUCGGGUAUCAGUCAUUCACACCUUAGUAUGAGUCAAUUUCAGUCAAUAUAUUCUCUCUCCAAAAGUAAGUGUCCUUCACUCUGUCUCAGAUUGUAGAGAGAGUCCUCUGCAAGAGGUCUGUCUGGUAUCAAACAACAGCUCAGAAUGUACCCUUGGAUAUAAAGGGGAUCUGCUUACCAGC